AACUAGCAGAUUGCUAAAUAUCUAAGAAAAUCUUACUGGUCCUCAAAACCCUAAAUCUCGAGACCUUAGCCCACAAAAACCUUCAUAUGUAUCGAUCUAGCAAUUCGAUUGACCUCAAAUCUCUUAAACACAUUCAUAACAAGCAUAUCAAUAAGUCUCUAAAUUUUCACCUAUAAAAAUGCUACAAAAGUCACAAAAUCCUAAAAUUUGUAAACCGGUUUUAUUUUUCCAAGAUCUAAAUUCACAGAGAACAUCACUUGCUUAAAAAUCCUACAAAAAUCCAAUACUAAUUCAAACGACACCAAAUCACCUCUCAAAAAUCCUUCCACAAGUCUGCCGUCCAAUUUAGCUCUUCGAUC
rnacentral:lncRNA from 1 species